CCCUGAAAAAGGAGUUACAGAUGGCUGUGCGGCACCAUGUGGACACUGGGAAUCAAACUCAGGCCCUCUGGAAGAGCAUUAUUGGUCUUCACUGCAGAGCCAUCUCUCGAGCCUGAUCCCUGCAUAGUUUUAUAAUCCUGCUACAAGUCUGUAUUUGAGGUGAUCAGACUGGUAUCAAAUAACCACUAAAAAGGCUACUCUGUAGCUCAAGGUAGCUUUGAACUGGUGGCAACCCUUAGCUUCCCAAAUUCUGGGAUUGCAGAUAUGACCAACACCCAGAGUUGUGUUAGAUAGGACCAUGCCAUAGCCAGGGUAACCUGGGGUCCCUACCCUCACUCUUGAAAUAGUGAGGCUGAGCUUGAACUUGACAGUCUUCCGGCUCAGCUUCCUGAGUGCUCGGAUUACAGUCAUGUACCAUACACUCAGCUCAAGACUACAUGCUUGUCAAAUGCAGUAUACUUACACUGAAGCCUCUGGGCAUGUUCCAAAAAUUCACAAGGAUUCUUUUUCUUCCAGAGGACACCUAAACAUGAGUCAGAAUUGAUAAAAACGGGAAUAAACUACCUAACGACAGCUUCCAAAAAUGAGGCUUUCGUAUUAGGAGGCUUUUAAUAUCUUUAAGAAAAUAAAUUCUAAUUAAAGAUUUACCAAA
rnacentral:lncRNA from 1 species